GUUGACCUCGGAUCAGGUAGGAAUACCCG
rnacentral:ncRNA from 8 species